rnacentral:rRNA from 2 species
GGUUAAGCGACUAAGCGUACACGGUGGAUGCCCUGGCAGUCAGAGGCGAUGAAGGACGUGCUAAUCUGCGAAAAGCGUCGGUAAGGUGAUAUGAACCGUUAUAACCGGCGAUGUCCGAAUGGGGAAACCCAGUGUGAUUCGUCACACUAUCGUUAACUGAAUACAUAGGUUAACGAGGCGAACCGGGGGAACUGAAACAUCUAAGUACCCCGAGGAAAAGAAAUCAACCGAGAUUCCCCCAGUAGCGGCGAGCGAACGGGGAGCAGCCCAGAGUCUGAAUCAGCUUGUGUGUUAGUGGAACGGUCUGGAAAGUCCGACGGUACAGGGUGAUAGUCCCGUACACCAAAAUGCACAGGUUGUGAACUCGAAGAGUAGGGCGGGACACGUGGUAUCCUGUCUGAAUAUGGGGGGACCAUCCUCCAAGGCUAAAUACUCCUGACUGACCGAUAGUGAACCAGUACCGUGAGGGAAAGGCGAAAAGAACCCCGGCGAGGGGAGUGAAAAAGAACCUGAAACCGUGUACGUACAAGCAGUGGGAGCACCUUCGGGUGUGACUGCGUACCUUUUGUAUAAUGGGUCAGCGACUUAUAUUCUGUAGCAAGGUUAACCGUAUAGGGGAGCCGCAGGGAAACCGAGUCUUAACUGGGCGUUAAGUUGCAGGGUAUAGACCCGAAACCCGGUGAUCUAGCCAUGGGCAGGUUGAAGGUUGGGUAACACUAACUGGAGGACCGAACCGACUAAUGUUGAAAAAUUAGCGGAUGACUUGUGGCUGGGGGUGAAAGGCCAAUCAAACCGGGAGAUAGCUGGUUCUCCCCGAAAGCUAUUUAGGUAGCGCCUCGUGAACUCAUCUUCGGGGGUAGAGCACUGUUUCGGCUAGGGGGUCAUCCCGACUUACCAACCCGAUGCAAACUACGAAUACCGAAGAAUGUUAUCACGGGAGACACACGGCGGGUGCUAACGUCCGUCGUGAAGAGGGAAACAACCCAGACCGCCAGCUAAGGUCCCAAAGUCAUGGUUAAGUGGGAAACGAUGUGGGAAGGCACAGACAGCCAGGAUGUUGGCUUAGAAGCAGCCAUCAUUUAAAGAAAGCGUAAUAGCUCACUGGUCGAGUCGGCCUGCGCGGAAGAUGUAACGGGGCUAAACCAUGCACCGAAGCUGCGGCAGCGACACUAUGUGUUGUUGGGUAGGGGAGCGUUCUGUAAGCCUGCGAAGGUGUGCUGUGAGGCAUGCUGGAGGUAUCAGAAGUGCGAAUGCUGACAUAAGUAACGAUAAAGCGGGUGAAAAGCCCGCUCGCCGGAAGACCAAGGGUUCCUGUCCAACGUUAAUCGGGGCAGGGUGAGUCGACCCCUAAGGCGAGGCCGAAAGGCGUAGUCGAUGGGAAACAGGUUAAUAUUCCUGUACUUGGUGUUACUGCGAAGGGGGGACGGAGAAGGCUAUGUUAGCCGGGCGACGGUUGUCCCGGUUUAAGCAUGUAGGCUGAUUGUCCAGGCAAAUCCGGAUAAUCAAGGCUGAGGUGUGAUGACGAGGCACUACGGUGCUGAAGUAACAAAUGCCCUGCUUCCAGGAAAAGCCUCUAAGCAUCAGGUAACAUCAAAUCGUACCCCAAACCGACACAGGUGGUCAGGUAGAGAAUACCAAGGCGCUUGAGAGAACUCGGGUGAAGGAACUAGGCAAAAUGGUGCCGUAACUUCGGGAGAAGGCACGCUGGUGUGUAGGUGAAGUCCCUGCGGAUGGAGCUGAGACCAGUCGAAGAUACCAGCUGGCUGCAACUGUUUAUUAAAAACACAGCACUGUGCAAACACGAAAGUGGACGUAUACGGUGUGACGCCUGCCCGGUGCCGGAAGGUUAAUUGAUGGGGUUAUCCGUAAGGAGAAGCUCUUGAUCGAAGCCCCGGUAAACGGCGGCCGUAACUAUAACGGUCCUAAGGUAGCGAAAUUCCUUGUCGGGUAAGUUCCGACCUGCACGAAUGGCGUAAUGAUGGCCAGGCUGUCUCCACCCGAGACUCAGUGAAAUUGAACUCGCUGUGAAGAUGCAGUGUACCCGCGGCAAGACGGAAAGACCCCGUGAACCUUUACUAUAGCUUGACACUGAACAUUGAGCCUUGAUGUGUAGGAUAGGUGGGAGGCUUUGAAGCGUGGACGCCAGUCUGCGUGGAGCCAACCUUGAAAUACCACCCUUUAAUGUUUGAUGUUCUAACGUUGGCCCCUUACCGGGGUUGCGGACAGUGUCUGGUGGGUAGUUUGACUGGGGCGGUCUCCUCCCAAAGCGUAACGGAGGAGCACGAAGGUUAGCUAAUCCUGGUCGGACAUCAGGAGGUUAGUGCAAUGGCAUAAGCUAGCUUGACUGCGAGCGUGACGGCGCGAGCAGGUGCGAAAGCAGGUCAUAGUGAUCCGGUGGUUCUGAAUGGAAGGGCCAUCGCUCAACGGAUAAAAGGUACUCCGGGGAUAACAGGCUGAUACCGCCCAAGAGUUCAUAUCGACGGCGGUGUUUGGCACCUCGAUGUCGGCUCAUCACAUCCUGGGGCUGAAGUAGGUCCCAAGGGUAUGGCUGUUCGCCAUUUAAAGUGGUACGCGAGCUGGGUUUAGAACGUCGUGAGACAGUUCGGUCCCUAUCUGCCGUGGGCGCUGGAGAAUUGAGGGGGGCUGCUCCUAGUACGAGAGGACCGGAGUGGACGCAUCACUGGUGUUCGGGUUGUCAUGCCAAUGGCACUGCCCGGUAGCUAAAUGCGGAAGAGAUAAGUGCUGAAAGCAUCUAAGCACGAAACUUGCCCCGAGAUGAGUUCUCCCUGAGACUUUAAGUCUCCUGAAGGAACGUUGAAGACGACGACGUUGAUAGGCCGGGUGUGUAAGCGCAGCGAUGCGUUGAGCUAACCGGUACUAAUGAACCGUGAGGCUUAACCUU